rnacentral:rRNA from 1 species
UACGUAGGUCCCGAGCGUUGUCCGGAUUUAUUGGGCGUAAAGCGAGCGCAGGUGGUUUAUUAAGUCUGGUGUAAAAGGCAGUGGCUCAACCAUUGUAUGCAUUGGAGACUGGUAGACUUGAGUGCAGGUGAGGAGAGUGGAAUUCCAUGUGUAGCGGUGAAAUGCGUAGAUAUAUGGAGGAACACCGGUGGCGAAAGCGGCUCUCUGGCCUGUAACUGACACUGAGGCUCGAAAGCGUGGGGAGCAAACAGG